UCCUAGGGCCUCAUUCCUUUUAGGCAAGUGCUCUCCGUUUGAGCUAAUUCCUAUCCUGGGAGCAGUAUAUUUUGCAAAAAUUUCCUUUAAUCCCUCCCCACACCCCUCCAAAUAAAAGAAGAGAUACUGUGGUAGGGAAAACACUCUUGGGUACCACAGUCUAAAUGUGGAUUUACAGUACUUCCCUACUAUACUGGCUGGUCUUUUGUUUGACAUUUUAAUAUGGUGUUUAAUUGCUCAAGGCCCAUUGGAGCCGGAGGACUGUUGACCUCAGAGCUCUGUAACUUACACAUUUUAAACAGAGCUCUAAUCAGUCCCCCGUUCUCAAUUGCUCUGGCUCUGGCUCUAAAACCUUUGAGAAUAGCAGUUUUUCUCACCCAUUGCAGGGAAAUUGUGAUGUCAGUGUCAGAUUCUCCCACCUGGAGUCUACCUACUUCUUCCUUCGGGUUUGUGUCAGCAAACACCCUGCUCUGUGCCUUGGGGAAUCAGACCCUGGAUGGUUAGCUGUCUUGGUGUUCUAGGCCGCACUACGGGAACUGAGUUACAGAGGUUAGAGAAGCUAUGGGUUCACUUGUGAGCAUCCUCUUUCUUGUGUCUGUUCAUACUUUUGCAGGCGCAGCAGCUCCCCUCUGUGAUCGCCUGUCUUUGGCCCUGGAAGGACCUCCCUCCAAGGGGUUCAUGUAAUCAAAGAAGUUUCUUUGUUGUGUGUAUCUUUACAGAACACAACAGGAAUUGAAAAUGAAUCAGUUGAUCAGCAGGCUGUUUGAGACUCAUUCAGGUCAUUCUGGCAUCACAGUGUAUUCCUUCUACAGGAGAUAUUUUGGGGAAAUGAUCUCACCAUCUACGUAAGUCUCUUCAUAAACCUAAUGCUAAAGGCUUAAUGAUCCUAGGGUAGCUUUCUAUCUUUCACUGUGGUUAUCAU